UACGUAGGGGUCGAGCGUUGUCCGGACUUACUGGGCGUAAAGCGUGGGUAGGUGGUCGGUGAUGUGCCGUGUGAAAGCGCCGCGCUUCUCGCGGCGAGGUCGCGGUAGACACACCGACUGGAGGCACGGAGGGGGGCGUAGAAUUCCCGGUGUAGUGGUGAAAUGCGUAGAUAUCGGGAGGAAUACCAGUGGCGAAGGCGACUUCCUGGCCUGUUCUUGACGCUGAGGCGCGAAAGCUAGGGGAGCAAACAGGG
rnacentral:rRNA from 1 species